GUUGCAUGGCUUCUGCCUGAUGUGGCAUAACAACAAAAAGCUCAGGAUGAGAAUUAUCCACAUUAAAGAAAGAAUGGCUACUGUAACUCUAUUUUUCUGCUGUCUGCUGGGAAGUGUUUCUCUUGUGUAUGGACAGCCUUUGACUCGACUGGCAGCAUCCAAUGAGCUCUCUAACACUGACCACACUGGAGAGAUCAUCUCAUUCUCUGAUGUUGGAUCAGGAGUUGCUACUAAUCCACGAGCCUGGUCAAUCUACACCGACGACAUUGGUGGUGUAGUGUGGCAGGAUCCUGGUGGGAGUACAUUGCCCAUAGUACUAGUUCAGGGCGGGACUGCAGCUGGAGACGCACUGUUCAUCAGUGGUGUUCCUGGAGCUGUUGUUCUGCAUCGUGGUCCCACACACUUUAGUCCUGAUGGAGAACACUGCUGUGUGAGGCUUUAACACAAAUGAGAGGAGAUGUGUCACCUUCACUCCCUGCCCCACACUGAGUCCACUGUCUAAUGGAAUGAUCUCAUACAAUGCAGCCAAAAAUAUGGUCGCCUACACAUGUGUCACUGGGUACUUCAUCAGUGGAACCAUGGAUAGAAGAACAACUACUGCAAUAACUUGUA